AAUAUCCUUUGCUUUGAAGUCAAAGUUUCUCUUUUUCAACAUGGCUUGGGAGUGUGUUUGGCCAAAUUUGAAUACGUAUUAUGUCUCCUGAGACAAUUAAAACUUGUCUCCGAAAAGUGGGGGAUGGUAGCGGGAGUUAGUGGAGGGAAUUGACUUCUGAAGCCAGAGAAAGAAAUGUAGACAAAGUGAAAAUAUUACUAAAUAUUUAACGUAUAGAGGUUUGGGAGGUUGGCAUAGAAUUCAGUGAUGGAAAGAGAAACUUUGAACGGAAACAAUCAGCACUGUGUGGACCAUGGUAGCAAUAAUUACAGAAGAAGUAUAUGAAGACAUCUCUUGAAAUUCCCAUUAUACUUUACCUCAUUUAAGAGAACAUUGAAGGGCUAUGAGCCUUUUUUUGAAUUAUUCAUUUUUAAGUUAAAAUAUUAAUUGAAUAUUUUUGAGGGAUGAGAGGUCACCUUACGAAUGCCAAGAGACUCUGUAAUAUUUUAUAUUAUCCUAAAUCCCUUUUAAUGUUUUAGACCCCUCCAAUAGAUUGCUGAGGGCACUUGCUGCCUGCUCUUUUCCUUUCCAUUUUUAAAAAUGUAUUUUGAGCAGAGUACUGCUCGUCGAAAAUUCUUAAUGAAUUGCUUUAAAUUAUUUAAAUGUGUCUCUCAAUUUUAAACGUUUAUCACUGAUAUGUGUGUUUCUUUCUACCAACCCUAGAAAUUGUGUGCCUGCAAAGUCAGAAGGCACAUGCCUUGGAGGAAUUCAAAAUGCAUUCUGGUUUAAGAGCCCAACAAUGCAGUCCUUAAUUUGAAAUCUCCAUCUCUUUGCAUUUCCUUAUCUUCUUAAAAUAUUUAGUUGGGGAUCUUAUGACAGGAAGUUCCCCCCCCCCUAGGGUUUCACUAUUUCCUGAACCAGACAUGGUACGAAAUAAAAAAUGCAUUGUAUUUCUCUUUGAAUUCAAAUCAAAAGAUGUUGGCUGACAAAGCCUGCUGAAUGUUCAAAAUAGAGGAUUAGAGGCAUUGCGCUGUAUCUGGUUUUAGCUCCAGGAACUGGUCUGAAAGUGUCUUCAAAGUGAGGGUAUAUAUGGCAGCCUCCAUCUCCCAAGCCUGAGGGUUGGCGGCCGGUCGGUCGUUGCCUGGAUAAAAUUCCCUACUCCAGCUUCUCUGCUGACUUCCCCCCUGCCCCUCUGAACUGCUGUGCUGUCUUUCAGGAUCUUCAAGAACAAGCCAACAACACAGUUGUGAGAUGAGAGCUUGAGUUCAGUUGUUUAGAUCACUUUUGUUUGCCAGGAAGUUUCCCCUUCUGGCAGUAAGGCAGCACAAAACAUAGUCCAGACUGCAUGGGGUUUGUCAGAUGAAAAAGUACUUGGUUGGCAAAGAAUGAGAUUUCACGGCUAAUUAUAGAUUCUUCUCCCUUAUUAGCUCUUUCAAUUGUUCAGCCUUACUUUGGAAGAGUUACGCUUCUACAUGAGAAAUUCUUCUACCAAAAAAAAAAAAAAAAAAAUGAGAGGCUGGAGAGAUGGCUCAGUGGUCAAGAGCACUGACUGCUCUUCCAGAGGUCCUGAGUUCAAAUCCCAGCAACCACAUGGUGGCUCACAACCAUCUGUAAUGGGAUCUGAUGCCUUCUUCUGGUGUGUCUGAAGACAGCUAUAGUGUAUUUAUAUAUAAUAAAUAAAUAAAUCU
rnacentral:lncRNA from 1 species